UCGCAUCACAAUCCAUGCUUGGUUUGGCUGCCAGGAAUUCAGGAAUAUUUGGAGAACCUGAUUAUCAGAGCCUUCUAUAAAAGAUCAUAUAUGCAAACAUUGCAAAUGUGCUAGCCAGCAAGGAAGUGGAGCCUAUGCAUUCACACUUCGGAGAAUGGAAACAUAAUCCAGUCUAGCAGCUGAAUCGAGGUGGUACAUGCUUGACCUGCUAAAGCAUCAGGUUUCCACUGUUACUAGUGUAGCAGGAGCUGACUGGCCUGUUUGGCCAGAAUCUAUAUAUAGAUGUGAAGGUGCUGAAUUAUGUAUUUGGAUGACACACCACCCUUGCCGCAACCCUCCCAACAUAUACACCUUAAACCAAUUAUAUAUACUAUAUGAAUGUAAUGUCUUUGUUUCUGUAGCAUAUAAUAGACAUGAAGGAAUGGGCAUGAGACUGGGUGAAGAUAUGAUUGGAUAGUGUGCAUUUGGCAUAUAUAAAAACAUUAUUAGAUGACGUGGAUAUUUCUCUGUGAGAAUUUGUAAUGUGUAAUUCUUCUGUUCUGCUCUAUGUGAGAAAAAACUACG